rnacentral:tRNA from 1 species
GGAAGUGUGCCCGAGUGGCCGAAGGGGCUAGCUUGGAGAGCUAGUAAUAUGUUUUUCAUAUUCAAAGGUUCGAAUCCUUUCACUUCCG